AACGAACGCUGGCAGCGUGGAUUAGGCAUGCAAGUCGAACGGGAUCCGGAAGGUAGCAAUCCCGGCCGGUGAGAGUGGCGGAAGGGCGAGGAGCACGUGGACAACCUGUCCCGUGGGUGGGGAUACCGUCCCGAAAGGGGCGUUAAUACCGAAUGGGGCCCCGGCCCGCAAGGUCCGGCGGCCAAAGGCGGGGACCGCAAGGCCCGCCCCCCCGGGAGGGGUCCGCGCACCAUCAGCUAGACGGCGGGGUAACGGCCCACCGUGGCUUACGGUUAGCUGGUCUGAGAGGACGACCAGCCGCACUGGGACUGAGACACUGCCCAGACUCCUACGGGAGGCUGCAGUCGAGGAUCAUUCGCAAUGGGCGAAAGCCUGACGAUGCGACGCUGCGUGGAGGAUGAAGGCCCUCGGGUCGUAAACUCCUGUCAUGGGGGGCGAGGCGGAGGCGGUUAACGGCCGCCCGAGUUGACGGUACCCCAAGAGGAAGCCACGGCUAACUCUGUG
rnacentral:rRNA from 1 species